rnacentral:rRNA from 1 species
AUGCCAAAGUAUAUAGUGUCUGACAAAGACCCUGUUUUCACUAGUACAUUUUGGCAAACCUUGGUCAAAAGAACUGGCACCCAACUCAACAUGAGCACUGCUUAUCAUCCAGCUAUUGAUGGGCAGACUGAGCGAGUGAAUCAGCAGGUUGAGUGUUAUCUCAGAAGUUUCAUCAGUGCACAUCCUGAACAGUGGGGCAAGUGGCUUGCAAUGUGUGAAUUUUGGUAUAACACCAAUUGGCAAUCUGCAGUGGGCAAAACUCCCUUUGAGAUCUUGUAUGGUCACACUCCAUGGUACUUUGGCAUCUCUGCUAGUGACACUGUGGCUUCCUCUGAUAUCCAGCAGUGGCUAUUAGAAAGACAGACUGUGUUGGAUUCUGUCACUGAACAUUUGCAUAGAGCACAACAGAGGAUGAACCCCCAAGCUGAUAAGCACAGGACUGAACGUGUCUUUGAUAUUGGUGAACUAGUUUUUCUCAAGCUACAGCCUUAUGUCCAGUCCUCAGUCAUUCGUCGAGCCAAUCAUAAACUAUCCUUCAAAUACUUUGGACCGUACAAAAUUAUUGGCAAAAUAGGUGAAGUGGCAUACAAACUGCAAUUGCCUGCUGCUAGCAAAAUUCAUCCAGUUUUCCAUGUUUCACAACUCAAGAAGGUGCCAAUGCAAGUACUUCAGUCUCGGGUGCGUCGGGUUGGUCAGAAAGCA